UUAUCUAGGAGACUCCUUUUGAGCCCUGCUAAUUUUUUUUUCAUGGAGUUAAAACACACAAGAUAAAAUUCUUUCAUUUGUAGGUCUUGCAAAAUAAUGAACCGGAUUUGUUGGAGAAAAUGUGAGGCCGAGGGAGCUUGAACCUUUGCGUACACAAUUGGCCAGUGGGCUUAUGAUAGAUCUGAGGUCCUCGGGAAGAUAAGGAGCCCAGGCAGUUCUCAGAGCUUCUGGUAAUCCACAAGGACAUCAUUUCUCCUCUGCAUGGACUCUUCAUAUCUUGGUUGAGAAAUAUUAACGUGACAGUAUAAAAAGAACAUGAAAUGGGCGGCCAUCUUCUCCCCACUGGAUGCUCUUUGUUUUGGAAAAAUCUCUUCAGGAUACUUCAUUAUUGGCUGGGCUCACUUCUCAAACCCCUGGGGAAAAGAAAUUACGCUGUCCUUAUCUCUGAAGGGGCUGAAUUGACCAAACAAUCGCAACCUGAGCUAAAUCUCCUAAUAAAACUAAAUACAAAUGGGGCCCCUCUUAGGGCUUUCCAGGUCGUACAGCGGUAAAGAAUCUGCCUGCCAAUCC
rnacentral:lncRNA from 1 species